AGAAUUGUGGCUCAGUGGUAGAGCACUUGCCUCACAUGCAUGGAUGGAGCACUGGGUUCGAUUCUC
rnacentral:tRNA from 1 species